rnacentral:rRNA from 1 species
GAAUCCCGUCUUUGGCACGGACACACCAGGGCUUUUGUGAUGCGCUCUCGAAGAGUCGAGUUGUUUGGGAAUGCAGCUCAAAAUGGGUGGUGAACUCCAUCUAAAGCUAAAUAUUGGCGAGAGACCGAUAGCGAACAAGUACCGUGAGGGAAAGAUGAAAAGCACUUUGGAAAGAGAGUGAAACAGUACGUGAAAUUGUUGAAAGGGAAACGCUUGAAGUCAGUCGCGUCGACCGAGACUCAGCCUUGCCCUUGGCUUGGUGUACUUCUCGGCUGACGGGUCAGCACCAAUUUUGCCCCUUGGAUAAUGGCGAGGGAAAUGUGACACCUUUACGGUGUGUUAUAGUCUCUUGUCGCAUGCAAGGGUUGGGAUUGAGGAACUCAGCACGCACCUUUGGGUGUCGGGGCUUUGCCCACGAUACGUGCUUAGGAUGUUGGCGUAAUGGCUUUAAACGACCCGUCUUGAAACACGGACCAAGGAGUCUAACAUGCCUGCGAGUGUUCGGGUGGAAAACUCGUGCGCGCAAUGAAAGUGAAAGUUGGGACCUCUGUCGUGGAGGGCACCGACGCCCGGACCAGACCUUCUGUGACGGCUCUGCGGUAAAGCAUGUAUGUUAGGACCCGAAAGAUGGUGAACUAUGCCUGAAUAGGGUGAAGCCAGAGGAAACUCUGGUGGAGGCUCGUAGCGAUUCUGACGUGCAAAUCGAUCGUCAAAUUUGGGUAUAGGGGCGAAAGACUAAUCGAACCAUCUAGUAGCUGGUUCCUGCC